GAUGUUUGGGGAACUUAUAGAGGGUCAUUUCCUGUGUUAAUGUUGCUUUUCUUUUUUUUUUUUUUUUCUUUCCAGUUUACAGAUAUGAUCCUCACCUGUACCUGAAUUACUUUGUUAAUCAGAGUGAACAUUUGAUAAUGAGUGGUGCAGCUCUGGGUCUCGAGAUCGUUUUUGUCUUUUUUCUGGCAUUAUUCCUUCUUCAUCGAUAUGGAGACUUUAAGAAGCAGCAUAGACUUGUGAUUAUUGGAACACUCCUAGCUUGGUAUCUCUGCUUUCUUAUUGUCUUCAUACUACCUCUCGAUGUUAGCACGACAAUAUACAACCGGUGCAAACAUGCUGCUGCAAACUCAAGCCCUCCUGAGAAUAACAACAAUACGGGAUUGCAUACCACUGCUACGCCAGUGCCAAGCCAUCACCCAUGUUUCAAGCCAUGGAGUUACAUUCCUGAUGGAAUCAUGCCAAUUUUCUGGAGGGUUGUAUAUUGGACAUCACAAUUUUUAACAUGGAUUCUUUUGCCUUUCAUGCAGUCAUAUGCACGAUCUGGAGGGUUUUCCAUCACAGGAAAGAUCAAAACUGCCCUGAUUGAAAAUGCAAUCUAUUACGGCACUUACUUGCUGAUUUUUGGGGCUUUUUUAAUCUAUGUAGCUGUAAAUCCACGUUUGCACUUAGAAUGGAACCAGCUUCAGACAAUUGGCAUAGCUGCUGCAAACACAUGGGGUUUAUUUCUCCUUGUGCUGUUGUUGGGUUAUGGUUUGGUUGAAAUUCCUCGGUCAUACUGGAAUGGAGCAAAAAGAGGCUAUCUGCUUAUGAAAACUUAUUUUAAGGCAGCCAAAUUGAUGACAGAGAAAGCAGAUGCAGAAGAGACUUUAGAAGAUGUCAUGGAGGAAGUUCGUAAAGUGAAUGAAAGCAUCAAGUAUAACCAUCCAUUAAGAAAAUGUGUUGAUACAAUACUUAAAAAGUGUCCUACAGAGUAUCAGGAAAAAAUGGGGAGGAACAUGGAUGAUUAUGAAGAUUUUGAUGAAAAGCGAAAUGCCUACCCAAGUGAAAAAAGUCUGGUAAAGCUACACAAACAGGUGAUUUAUUCAGUUCAGAGGCACCGUCGAACUCAGGUCCAAUGGCAGAUUCUUUUGGAACAAGCAUUUUAUCUAGAAGAUGUAGCGAAAAAUGAAGCUAGUGUCACUCGUCAGUUUGUGCACACCUUUCAAUCACCUGAGCCAGAAAAUAGAUUUAUCCAGUAUUUUUAUAAUCCUACUGUUGAGUGGUACUGGGAGUGCCUGCUGCGACCAUGGUUUUGCAGGAUACUUGCUGUGGUGUUGUCCGUCUUCUCUGUGAUUGUAGUGUGGUCCGAGUGCACUUUCUUCAGCACUACACCUGUCUUAUCCCUUUUUGCAGUCUUCAUACAGCUGGCUGAAAAAACAUACAAUUAUAUUUAUAUUGAGAUUGCUUGCUUCCUUUCCAUCUUCUUCCUAAGUAUCUGUGUCUAUUCUACUGUGUUCAGGAUUCGUGUGUUUAACUAUUACUACUUGGCUUCACAUCACCAGACUGAUGCUUACAGCCUUCUUUUCAGUGGCAUGUUAUUUUGCCGUUUGACUCCUCCUCUAUGUCUUAAUUUCUUGGGCUUAACUCAUAUGGAUUCAUCCAUAUCUCAUCAGAAUACCCAGCCAACUGCUUAUACAUCUAUUAUGGGUUCCAUGAAAGUUUUAUCCUUUAUUGCAGAUGGAUUCUAUAUAUACUACCCGAUGCUGGUGGUAAUUCUCUGCAUUGCCACUUAUUUUAGUUUGGGAACUCGCUGUUUGAAUUUACUUGGUUUCCAGCAGUUCAUGGGAGACAAUGAUAUGACAUCAGACUUAGUUGAUGAAGGAAAAGAAUUAAUCAGGCGAGAGAAAAGAAAAAAGCAAAGGCAAGAAGAUGGUGAAAAUCGAAGAAGAUUGAUGCGAGAGCAAAACACAACCACUACUACUCAUAGCCACGCCUCCAGAAGUCUGAAUGGAAAGAACGUUAUGGACACAAUAAAGAAGAGUCUACUAGAAACAGAAAUGUUCAUACUGACCCAAAAGAAUCAAACUUUUCAGAUAUUAGUACCAACCGAACAGCAUCCAAGUAUGCCAGAGCUAAUAAUCGGACUGAGAAGGACCGAGUAGAACUCCUCCAAGAUGCAGAACCACUGGACUUUAAUGCAGAAACAUUCACUGAUGAUCCUCUCGAAUCUGAAUCAGGAAGGCAUCAGCCUGGUGGAAGAUACCUCUCAAUGUCACACUGCACAAUAUUUGAUGAUGUUUAAUGUCGGAAAGAAUUGAUGAAAUAACCAACCAAGAUCAUCACAUCGCUCUGUCUAUACAGACAUCUGCAUCCUAAAAUUUACUGUUAGGAUAAAAAAGGCACUGAAAAGUAUGACUUCUUACUAAUAAUAGUUACUGCUCAUUGAAUAUAGAGUAUCAUCUUUUUUUUUUUUUUUUUUUUAACCAGAGCACUGUUCAGCUCUGGCUUACGGUGGUGUGGGAGACUGAACCUAGGACUUUGGAACCUCAGGCAUGAGAGUAUGUUUGCAUAACCAUUAUGCUAUUUACCCUCCACCCUGUGUAUCAUCUUUUUUAUUUAUUUUUUCAUUUCUUUAUUGGGGAAUUAAUGUUUGACAUUCAACAGUAAAUACAAUAGUUUAUACAUGCAUAACAUUUCUCAGUGUCCAAUAUAACAAUACAACCCCCACUAGGUCCUCUGUCAUCCUUCUUGGACCUGUAUCCCCCCCGCCCCCAGAGUAUCAUCUUCUUAAUAGUAUUUAUAACAUAUCAUUGCUGAAGCAUCUGCCUUAGCAGCAGUUACAGCAGAAGGAUUUAAUCCAUGAAAAAGACCACUAUAUGUUUCUUUAGGGAUUUAAGGAAACCUUAAGUCACAACUAAAUAAUAAUACACAAUUUUAUUAUUUCUACACAGUUUUAUUAUUUCUGUAUAUUAGUUAUCCAUACAACAUUUAUGACUUCUCUUUUUGCUUUUUCUGUAGAAUAUGUUAAUCUUGUAUUUCCCAAAGAGAUGAUAUCUCAAAUAGUUACCACACUUAUCUGUGUCUCAAAGUAAGGCUUAGUUAUCAGACACAACUGAAUGUAAAAAGCUCUUUUCCAAUUCUGUAAGCCUCAGCUUCUGCCUGAAUAAGUAAGAGCAUACUUUCGCUGAUCCAGGUUAGUACCGUUUAUAUGAAUAGGUGGUAAAUUAUUCUCUCAGUCUUUAAUAGUAACUGGAAAAUUGUUUCAAUGCUUUUGAAAAUAGCUUUUUCCCCAAGAGAAAUCUCCAACUUUAUCAUGCAGCUUCUUGAUUUAAAUGCUGAUCAUUUCAUUCUAGGAGAAUCCUAAGCAUUAAUGGAAAGUAAUGUUAAUUUUUUCAAUAGCCAGAGUCUCACAAAAUUCUCUGAUUUUUGAAAAAGAGCAUCUGGUUGUUCAAAGAUGAAAAAAGCAAAUCCAUGUACAGUUAUUACUGAUACUUAAAUUGUGACUUAUAGAAACCAGCACUGUUAGAAUGGAAGUUGUAUAAUCACUUGUUGGUUAAACAUGCUUAUUAUAGUUCAUUUUUUAAUUUUAGUGUCUAAGCCAAAGUUAGGUAUUACACUUUAAAGGACCAGUGUUUUCUUGCACAGUGAAUGUGGCUGAAUACAACAUACUUGCCAAGAGUUCUUGUGUCCUUCAGAUGUUCAGAACUUUUGUAGAAUCCUUGCUGAAAAUUCAUCCAAUGAUGACUAUACUUGUGUUUUCUCCUGACGGUCAGUUUUGCACCUAUUCUUCUGUGCAGUCUUCUAUAGUGCUCUUUCCUCUGAAGUAUCCCAGUUGAAAAUGAAUUGUGUAGUCAUCCUAACGGUACGGUUAUGUGUUUCUUCUUAGUGAUAAACUUCCUUAGAAUCAUAACUUUAAUCAUUCAUUUUCCUCUUAGCAUUAUGGUGUAUAUUAUUAGUUACAUAGUUCUGUGCAGAUGCUGAAAAGAAUAAUUUAUCAUUUUAACUCUCGUUUUUCUUCAGUUAGAUCCCCCUUUUAAAGUGGUUGUUGAGGGAUAGAUUUUAGUCUCUUCAGUUUUACUCUUGGGUGUUGGUUGUGUAGACAGUCUACUUGAGGACACAGGUAUGGUUAGAGAGCAGACUGCUAGUGGCAAAGAUAAUCUUAUACUGUUUGUUAUUUCUUAAUUAAUUCAUUGAAUACCUUGGGCAGAUUUAGUAAUCUUCCAGUGCCUCCAUUUCUUCAUUUGUGAAAUGAAGAUCCUUUUACUUUCUGAGCUACCUCACAGAGCUACGUGAGGGUAUUGAGUUGAUGUUUAUAUGCUGACAUUUGAAAAUUUGAUGGGAGAUGGUUGCCUCAGAAUGGGGUCUGGGUUUUUAGUCCACAAAGGAGUGUACAAGUCCCCAAAGCCAAAACCCUUAUUUUGAAUGAUUCUAAAAAUUUCUAUAAAAUAAGCAUGUGGUUAUUUAUUUUAGUUUUGGGGUAUAUGUUUGGAAUAUUUUCCUUAAGUAUUUUUUUUUUCAUCAGAUUUAGUCAUAAACUUCAGAUGCUGUUAUAGAAGUAUAGAAAAAGAAUAAAUUAUUUUUAUUAAAUACAAUGUCUUCAAAUAAAUUGAUAGGAUUAUGUAAUGAGAUUACUAUGUUGUUUUUAUUCUAGUUUUAUGACUAUGAGAAUGAAAAUUUUUUAAUAUAUCACAAGAAUUUAAAUCCCUCUUAUGAUUUUUUAAUUAUUUCCCAAAUUAGUUUUUUGGUUGUUUAAGUAAUCUAGAGUGUUCAACUUAUUAAGCAGACUUUGUCUUAGAAGGCAUUAUAUACAACCAGGUAGGGAAGUUACUUCAUAAGUUGGAGUUCAGAAGGCAGUUACUUAGCCUCCAAAGACUGCAAGUCCGUUGCUGGGGAACUAAGUUAAUAUUGUGCAAAAAUAAUAAUAAGAGACUUCUGUUUUGAAAAAAAAUCAUUAAAUUGUAAUGACAUCUACUAUAAAACAUUACUGCUAAAUUCAUAUAUUUUACAUGAGGGUACAUUUUUGAAGAGUUAACUGUCAAUUGCAUGUAUCUUUCUUAUGUAAUGACAGGCAUCUAAUUAAUUAAAAAAAUAUUUUUAAAAACAUUUGUUACAUAAGGCUAUUUAGUAAGACAGUAAUUAAAAACAACCACUCUAGAAAGUAAUAGUCACCUUUUCAUGAAUCCCAUGUAGGUUGCUAACUAACUUUUGCUCCUAUGCCAAUAACCUGUCAUGAUCAACAGAACAUUUUUGUAAAAAAAAUAUGACACUAAGAAAUAAGUGUAGACCCUCUUUUGAAUUUGUCCUAUUGCCAAAUGAAUACAGGAAGUUUGAACUACUUCACUGUUUCAGGAGUAAAUAGGAGCUAAAUCAAAACAGCCAGGAAUUUGCCAUUUAUACAGCAUAGAUGUGAACGCACAGCAGUCCAGACCUUCAAGACGUAAUGCUACCAGUUGUUUUGUUUGUUUGUUUUGUCAGCUCUACGAUUUGGUCAUUUAUCAAUUCUUAAUUUAUGCUGGUUGUGUCCCUAAAUGGAAUUAAAUUUGAAUAGAAAAGUCAGUGUGUGUGUUUUUUUCAAGUAUUUUGAGCAUAUUAAUGAAGGAAUUAAUUUUUAAAUCUUAAUAAUUUAGGUGCUGGUCUUGAUGGUCUAUUGAUUACCAUUUGAAUUUUUAAAAACUUAUUAUUGGAUAGAGACAGAGAGAAAUUGAGAGGAGAGGGGAACGGAGGGAGGAAGAGAGGCACCUGUAGCCCUGUUUCACCACUCCUGAGGGUGGGGACCAGAGGCUUGAACUCAGAUCCUUACACACUACAACUUGUGCACUCAACCAGGUGUGCCACCAGCCAGUCCCUAUUGAUGAUAAAGGAAAAACGAACUUUACGUAAUUACAAUCCACACUGUUCAGUGACGUCAGUUUUGCACUUGUGAUUUGAGUGGACUAGUGUCCCCGAGGAAUCUUACCCAUAUCUGAAUCUCCAAAGUACAGUGGUUUGUAUUCUGUUGAAUUGUAGAUAAGGACUGGAUUUAGUUUUCCUCUCUUCAUCCAGCUCUCCUCAUUUCUUACCUGCUUUUCCUUCCUUUCUGCGGCCUCUUUUAUAGUCUGACUUUUCAUGUGCAGACAUACUGCCCAUCUGUGUUAUGCAUGUGAUUGUUUUUGAUCAGUGACCCCAGAAGGAGCUGAUUGUGACUACAGAUCUCACUACUUGAAUGACGGUAUUGCCCAGGAGUAAAUGAUAGAUGCUGGCAAGGUUUGCUGUCCUUCAGAUCACUAAGGAGGAUGGCACUUCAGCCAAAGGAUUUAUUCCCAGUGUAAUUUGGGCAUAAGAAUGGAUUUCCCAAGGCAUGAAAGAAGGUUGUUAUACUACAAGUCUUCUAUGAUGGGAAUGCCCUCUGUGCAGAGUACUUUCUGCUAGAGACCUGGAAGUCUGCCUCUGUCCUGGUUCCUGGAAGUCUUCCCCAGCACAACAGGCUUUAACACUGAUGACCCUAAUGCCAUGGGAGUACACCCUCACUUCCAAAUUCUCCUGAUGCCUAGCAUGAUUUUUUCUAGAAUUUUAUUUCCAGUUUAAAGAUAUUUUUCAAAUAGGAUUGAUUAGAAAAAGCUAUAAUUUUAAAUGUGUUAAUAAAGCAAAUGGCAUGUUUCUCUGCAUUGAUAACAAAAAAAAAGUUUUUUAGCAUAUUGCUUGGGGAGAGGUAACAUUUCCCCCCACCCCCGAGAAUUUCUUUAUAUUUUGUGGUUUUCUUGAUCUCAAAGUAUUUGUUUUUUUUUUUUUUUAAAAAAAAAGCAGUUAGUGUACUUACUGCAAGAGUAGAAAGAGUGGUUUACUGUGGCAGCUGUAUGAUGAGUAAAGUUUUAACUUAUUUGAUUAGGCUGCACCAAUUUGAGUUGAUAGAAACAUGUCUCUAUCAGCCAAGUCUCUUAGAGCUAUAUUCUUAAAAGGAUGCUGGGUGACAUCUUCCCUACUUAGUAUACUGAGUUGUAGGGGAGAGACGGUAUUUUUUUUUUUUUUUUUAAGCAAUCCAAUGGAUUUGUUUUUGUCCAUAUUUUGAAAAUAGCUUGAAGGAUUUUUCUCAUUUUUAGAGGGUAGAGAACAUAUCGACCAGUCUUUUAAAUUACUGUAACAUAUAUUUAUAAAUUACAGCAUUGACAAAGAGGAGCUCUAAUAUUUAUGCUACUUUCUAGUCUUUAAUUUUUAUAAAAUGUUUUUGUAAAUAGCUACUUGUAGUGUUGCUUUUUAGUUUUAUGAUCUUUAUAAAUGCCUCCCAGAAACCAUUUUUUAGGGCAAUAUUCUAAAUUUGAGCAGUCCAGUGUGAAUUUGAAAUCAGUAUCAUUUUCCGUAUAGCAGUAUCCAAGUAAAAUAUACCAAAAACCUAAUUUCUGUAUUGUAUUAUCUAAUAUACUGCACUACCUAAGACUGAGGAUAAAUCUAUUCAAAUGUAUGUCUGACUAUGAUUUUUCAAAAUGAUUAUAUUCACUGUUGGUGCAUGAUGCCAAAUCUAUCUUUAAUCAGCCCAUGCUACCAGAUGUGCAUCACAUGUCUUCCUGCUUGGUGAAUGGGCUGUAGAUUUGAGUGCUUUCCAGACUCUCACCACAGUUGCAAGUGUAUAAGUUAGCAUCUUUGGCCUUAUCUAUACAUAAUGUUCUCUUAGUUUGUUUUUAACAAACUCAUGGACUUGCAGUUGCUUUGUAGCAUUUUAAUUUAUUGUGUUGCUGGAUAUUAAAAAAUGUUUAUUUGAUUAGCUGUUAACAUUCAGAAAUGAUGUGUCUUUGCAUGAAAUAAAGUACAUUUCUACUGGUUACUAAGAA